CUGAUGUGGGGCUCGAUCCCAGGCCCCUGGGAUCAUGACCCGAGCCGAAGGCAGCGGCUUUAACCCACUGAGCCACCCAGGCGCCCCUAGGGAUUUUUUGAUACACAUGUACUGUUACUCUGGUUCAGAAGUUGGUGGUGGAAGGAGGAUGCUACUGUAAAAAUAAAUCCAAAGUACAUGACAUUCAUUGGUCCAGCAGUCAAUCAAGAUGAGAACAAAUAUCUGCUAUUAGAAAAUGAGAUUUGUGUAAUACAACAAUGAAACAGUUUUUAAAAGUUCAUUUGUAAUUACUUGGAAUGUGAAUCCGUGCCCUGUGGUUCCAAGGAAAGGCUAGAAAAUGUAAUGUUGGUAGUGAGUGUUGACUUUUACUACCUGUGUUUAUCAAGUUGAUAGAAGAAAAGAGAUGGUAUGUGACAAGAAUUUGUUACCUUGCAAGUUUAAAAAAAAAAAAAAAGGAAAAAAGGUGAGAAAAUCAUUGCUUCUAGUUCCAAAUGAUAAGAGAUUGUGCACAGAGGUCCGUUAAGUCUUUUGGCUUCAGUACAGAUCUGAAUAGAAUUGUGGUAUUUCCUCCUAAACAUGAUAGCUUUAAGACAGGAGACAACGUUUGGAAAAAGGCAACCUUGAGAAUUAUAUUUAGGAAAGAACUUUGGGAGUUGCUACUAGCAUAUGUAGCUGAAUAGAUACCUCUCUCUCUCUCUCAAAAACAGAGUUUACUUAUUUAUAAUGCCAAAAAAAAAAAAAAAAAAAAGGCAGGCCUCUUCUUUAACAGCUUUUGGAUGUUCUGUCAUUAGAAGUAUUUGUGGGCUCCCAAACUUGCUCAGGGAGGAAAUGGGUUGCAAAACUUUGGAGGUUUCUGAGGAGGGUCAGUCCCCAUCAUUUAUUUCAAAUGUGCUUAUAGACAAAAAACCUGCUAAAGAGUAGAGUAGAGCUAUGAAGAACGUUGAAUAAGUAGUUCGUUCCAGAUAGCAAAAUUGAAAUCAAGGAUAUAUUCUUACUGCCAGGUUGAAAGGACCUCAAAAUUCCUGCCAGUUUUAUCAUAACUGCAAUAGACCAGUGCCUUCUGCAUUCCUCUGAUGUACCUUUUCCCAGAUGCAGUUUUUAAAACAAAUUUAUCCUUACUUGACUGUCAGAUGUUGGGCCAGGUGGCAGGAGGAAGAUUUCUGUAACUGGUGUUGUUUGUGCAAAUACCACUGAAUAUCAAGGAGCUGUAUCCAUAUAUGAACCAUGUCAUCAUUCAGAGAUCUUGAACUUGAAGCUGGUUGCAAUAACUGGAUGGAAUUUGGGGUUGUCUCACUUGGGGAAUGAGGAAGCAUGCUUUACUUGCGGUAGGAUACUCGGUAACCAGAAAGAUAUAACUCUAUUAGAGACACUAACCAAGUGCUCACUUCAUCUAUUUCUUCUUUCUCUCAGGUACCUGGCUAACUUACAUUUCCCAGCUUCUUGCAAUUAGGCAAAUGCUGACUAAUGCUACCUACAUUAGGAUGUUGGCAACCUGGACUCCCUUGCAAAAUAGCUUUUGAAGACGAAGUUUCUGCUAGCCAGGGCCCUUGCAUGAUUGCAUGGAGCAGAUCCCCUCAAUCCGAUCCUGCCACCUGUUGGGCUUUCCAUGAGCAACAAUUUCCCAGGUCUCUCUGCUCAGAUGUCAUCCUGUCAGGGAGAGCUUCUUUGAACUUCCUUCAAAAAUAUCAACUGGUUAUUCCUCCCUCCUUGCUUGAUUUUUCUUCUUUGACAUUCAGCACCUGACAUACAUGUAUUUAUUUAUAUAGCUGUCAGCCUUCCCAUCUAGAAUAUAAGCUUUGUGAGUGCAAAGACUCUUUCCUUCUCUGCCAUGUCCCAAACUUGUAUAUAGUAGGUGCUCAGGCAAAUAUUUGCCUUUUGAAUACAUAUGCUGUAAAUAUUUGGAUAAAUGUUAGUUUGAAUAAAUAGUCAUGGAUAUAUACAGGUUUCCUUGGUUUAUUAAUGACUUCUAUAAUUGAGUAGCUGCAGCUCCCAGUUAGGAAUCUAUCAGAGUAAUCCGAGUAAGAGAGAGGACAGCUUGGACUUGGGCAGUAACAGGGGAGAAUACGAAUGGGAGAGAAGAUAAUGUCUGAUUAUAGAGGAGAAGCUAUGAAUUAAUUAUCUACCAAAAGCAUGAGAAUAAUUGAAGGAAGAAACUGACAUGAGUCCUGAGCAGCAUUAGGAGCCCACUGCCACUAAUUUAAAGUGAGAGCAGUCAGCACAGUUUUAAUUUUCUUUUCUGGGACCUGUUUUUUGGUCAUAUUUAUUUGGGACUCUUAGUAUUUUUGUUACUAAUUUGUAGGGGCUCUUCAUAUGUUAGAGCAAAAAGCCCUUUGCCUAUCAUGAUUUGCAAAAAUUUUCAUUUUAUCAUUUGUCUUUUGACUUUGUUUAAUUUUUUCUAAACAUAAUAUUUGAUUUUGUUCAUGUUAAAAAUGAUAUACUUUGCACCUUCUAACUAGUUAUGGUGCAUAUAUGUGAAGACUGUCACUUCUGUAUACCAUCAGUUUCUUCAGCCACAGGUUAUCAAACUCUCAUUGUUUUUAUUUUUUUAAAGAUUUUAUUUAUUUAUUUGACAGAGAAAGUGCGCACAUGGUAGCACAAG